CAAUAGCGUAUAUUAAAGUUGUUGCAGUUAAAAAGCUCGUAGUUGGAUUUCGGGGUGGCCUGCCUGGUCCACCGCAAGGUGAGUACUGGUCAGCCGCCCUUCCUCUCGAAAGCCCCGACUGCUCUUCAUUGCAGUGGUCGGGUAGUUCGGGACGUUUACUUUGAAAAAAUUAGAGUGUUCAAGGCAGGCCGUCGCCUGAAUACAUUAGCAUGGAAUAAUGGAAGAGGACCUCGGUCCUAUUUUGUUGGUUUCUAGGGCCGAAGUAAUGAUUAAGAGGGACAGUUGGGGGCAUUCGUAUUUAAUUGUCAGAGGUGAAAUUCUUGGAUUUAUGAAAGACGAACUAGUGCGAAAGCAUUUGCCAAGGAUGUUUUCAUUAA
rnacentral:rRNA from 1 species